UGAAGACCAUCUUGCUGGUCGAAAUACGUUGGCGUCCCUUCAUGUAAUAAAGGACUUUUAAUAUAUUCAGUCGGAGUGCCUCAGACCCAGUGAAGCGCUCUACCUCUCUUGCUUCAUCCAACAAUUCCAGCUACUAUUUCUCACUCUGCUAACUCCC